rnacentral:rRNA from 1 species
UAGGGAAUCUUCGGCAAUGGACGAAAGUCUGACCGAGCAACGCCGCGUGAGUGAAGAAGGUUUUCGGAUCGUAAAACUCUGUUGUUAGAGAAGAACAAGGACGUUAGUAACUGAACGUCCCCUGACGGUAUCUAACCAGAAAGCCACGGCUAACUACGUGCCAGCAGCCGCGGUAAUACGUAGGUGGCAAGCGUUGUCCGGAUUUAUUGGGCGUAAAGCGAGCGCAGGCGGUUUCUUAAGUCUGAUGUGAAAGCCCCCGGCUCAACCGGGGAGGGUCGUUGGAAACUGGGAGACUUGAGGGCAGAAGAGGAGAGUGGAAUUCCAUGUGUAGCGGUGAAAUGCGUAGAUAUAUGGAGGAACACCAGUGGCGAAGGCGGCUCUAUGGACUGUAACUGACGCUGUGGCACGAAAGCGUGGGGAGCAAACAGG